rnacentral:tRNA from 1 species
AGGGAGACCUAAUUCAGGUAGGAGACGAAAAAAAAGUAGUCCCUACCAAGAAUCAAUCCCAAAAGGUCGGAGCGAGGCAAAAUUGGCUUUCAAACUAGGUUCUGGGUUCACACAAGACCUGAAUCAGGAAUAAGGGCUAUUAGCUCAGGUGGUUAGAGCGCACCCCUGAUAAGGGUGAGGUCCCUGGUUCGAGUCCAGGAUGGCCCACCUGUACAGGUGGCAAAAACAAAGAAAAGAAGCGAGGAAUCAGCACCUUAUCUUACUUAUAUAGUAAGAGAGAAUGCUGGCUCUGAGUUCAGAGUCCAGAGGAACCUUGAAAACUGCAUAGAGCUAGGUGAAAAAGCCAAAAAAGAAGACCACAA